UUGCGAGUCAUCUCGGAAAAUGCAUCUCACCUAAGUCUGUGAUCAACCAUGCUGCUACGCCUACUAAGCCAUUAGAGAUGCAUAUGCCUGUGCAAAAAAAUGCACAGCAAGUAUAGCAUGAGUAAGAAAACAACGUGUACUCAGCAAGUAUCCCGUCUAAUCUCAAAAAAGUAGACACAAAAGGUCAAAUUCGACACUUGCUCAAUAAUAAUAUACCAACAAUGUAGUGAAUCAAGAAUAUUCAUAAAAUGAUUGUAACUUAAUAGCAUGAGCCAAAUAAAUAGUUCUUUUAUUAAUAUGAAAUUUCUAGAUUCAAUCUCAUCAUUUAAGCAUUUAUCUUAGGUCAAGGAGGACAAUUAUCAACAUCUAUAAUCUCAAGGCAAGCAAUACAAGCAUGCGCAAUGUGGAGGAUAUACGACCCGAUCCAAUAGUAUAUAAAUUUGGCACUGUCAGAGGGCUGAAUGGAGCAAACCAUAGAAGUAUUUAUUUAUUCUACCAAGUUAUUUGGCCCGUUCCGAAAUUAAACACACGCAGACAGUCAAUCAAGAAGUCAACAAGGAACAAUAAUCCAAACAAAAGUCAAUUCUCUUUUAAAUAUUUUAGAAAAUGAAGUCAACCUUUUUAGAAAUUCAUUUACUAAUUUGAUGUGAUUUAAGCAAAUCAAACUGUCAAUAAGAUUUCAAAUAUUCCAAGUAUAGCAUGAUUUUGGGUCCUAGACUACCUGGACUUAAAUAUAAUAGUAGCUACGCACGGACGCUCGUCACCUCGUGCGUACGUAGCCCCCACAAAUAGAAGCACAUAAUCAAUUAUUUAAAAUAUGGGGACAAUUUCCUCUUACAAGGUUAGAAAGGAGACGCACCUCGCUCUGAAGAUCCAUAACCGGCAUUCCACGCCCUUCAGAAGACCCGAAUCGAUGCAAAAGGCAGCAAAACUAGCCAAUAAUUAUGCAAAUCCAUUAAUAUAGGUUCAAUUAUUCAUUAAAAUACAAUUUAUAACAAUUCCUAACCCCGAUCGAAAAGUUGACAAAAUUACCCUCAAGCCCACAUGCUUGGAUUCCUAAAUUUUUUGAAGAUAAAGUUUAUCAUGAACUCACGAACUCAAUUAUAUGAUUUACUCUUAAUUUCAUAGCCAAAAACGGGGUCAAAUUUAUAGAAUAUCGAUUUUCUAGGUUUUCCCUCAAACCCCAAGUUUCUACCAAUUUCAUGCUCAAAUCCGUACAUAAUCAAUGUAUUUAACUCAAGAAACGUGGGAUAGCUUACCUUAUCGUUGAUGAUGAAAACCCUCUCUUGAAACCCUCCAAGAAUCACCUAAGCUAAGAGAAAAAAUGAGAGAAAAUGGCUAAUUCCUGAUUUUUGAAACACUCACUACCUCCAGUCAUUUCGCACCUGUUGUCUAUUGACCGCUUCUACGGUCCCGCAGGUGCGGACCAAUUGCCGCUUAUGCGGUCUUCCCCCAAGCCUUAAACUUCCACAUCUGCGCUUCUCCUUCCACAAGUGCGGUUCCAAAUCUGCAGCCAAAAUGACCUCAUCUGCGGUCCCAACCUGUCCACCCAUUUCCAUUUAUGCGGCAUGAAAGCCACUUAUGCGGCUCCGCACCUACGACUCUAGUUUUGCAAGUGCGGUUACACCAACAACUUCAGCCUUCUCCAAAAUUUCAUUUUCCAUCUGUUAACUAUCUAGAAUCCACCCGAGGCCCUCGGGACCCCAACCAAUCCCAAAACACAAUACGCACUUCGAGGCCUCAAAUCACAUCAACGAACGCUAAAAUCAUGAAUCGACCUCCCAUCCAAGCUUAAUGAACUUCAUAAUUUCAUACGUCAAAAUCUGAUGCCGAAAUCAAUCAAAUCACUUCCGAUUGACCUCAAAUUUUGCACACAAGUCAUAUUUGCCGUUACAGAUCUAGUCCAACUUCUGAAAUCAAAUUUCCACCCCAGUAUCAAAAGUCCACUUCCGGUCAAACUUCUCAAAAACCUUCGAACUUCUAUCUUUAGCCAAAUGGCUCAAAUAUGAACCACGGACCUCUAUAUUCACUUUUGAUCGCGCUCCUAACACUACAAUCACCAUACGGAGCCAUUCCCAAGUUCAAAAUCCCAAACAGACAUUGAUAACACUUAAAUGUACUUCAACCCAAACUUAUGAAAUUCUUCCAAAAAUGCUAACUUCCACAAUAGGUGCCGAAACGUUUCCGGUCUUCCAAAACUCGAUCCAGACAUAUGCCCAAGUCUGAAAUCCUCAUACGAACCUGCUGGAACCUUCGAAUUCCAAUUUCGAGGUUGCUUACUCAAAAAUCUCAUAUUAGUUAAUUCUUUCACCUUAAAGCUUCCGAAAUGAGAAUUCUUUUUCUAAAUCAACUUUGAAUUUCCCAAAAUUCAAUUUCGACCAUGCCUAGAAAUCAUAGUACCUGAAGUGAAGCUACUCAAGGACUCAAACUGCUAAACGACGUGCUAGAUCUCAAAACGACCGAUCGGGCCAAUCAUAGCAGAUCUUAAUUGACCAAAAGACCAAACAAAUAAAACGUAAGAGUCAAUAGUUAUUGGUUAAGGAGAGGACGGUAGAGAUCUUUUAUUGAUGAGGUCGAUUUGGUCUGCCUCUCCAUGGAGAGGUUCAGAGCCUUACAAUGAUAUAUAUUCUCUUCUUUUAGAAGUCGGGAUGAAGAAGAAGAAGCAGUCCCCCUUUUAGGAUUCUUUCUCUUAGUAUUCAUAGCUGUGAACCUUGCCAGCUGGCGCUGGGAGGCCGUGGCCUUCAUGAGGGCAGAUAGGUUAUAACCUUGCUGAUCCAAUCGGUUAACCAUCGGGUAACCUUAUUGACAAAUGGUCGUACCAUUUGUUAAUCAUAAGUGGAUUUUAAAACGGGUUGGUUCCGUUAAUUAUCGUGGAGUCAAGUUUUGACCCAUACAUUUAGUCCCCCCUGCUUAUUGAGGUCGGGAUCCGACCGAGCUCGAUGAGCGGACUUUGCCGAGUAUAGUUCAAGAAAUUCGGAGGGGAAGAUCGAACGUCGUUUUGGUCGUGACCUAGGAUGGCCGUGGUCGUUUAUAUUUGGAGAUUAUAAUAUCGAAAUCGAUGGCCUUAGCCAUUUUGUGUUGACGGUCCAUUUUGUUCGUGACCUAGGAUGGCCAUGGUCAUUUAUACAUUGGAGAUUAUAAUGUCGAAAUCGAUGGCUUAGCCAUUUUGCGCUGACGAUCUUGGCUGUAGUGGAGUCAAUGGUCCGGGCGGUAUUCGAAUUUGAUGACCCCAGUUGCACUUUGACGAGAGCCCCCACUGUUUACAUAUGGGGGAUGGCCACAGUAGUAUAUACUUUGAAAAUGGCCGUAGCCAUUUUUAUUUUGAAGAUGGCCGUAGCCAUUUAUACUUUGGAGAUGGACGUAGCCAUUUAUACUUUUGAAGAGGGUCGUAUCCAUUUAUAUUUUGGAGAUGGCCGUAGCAUUUAUACUUUGAAGAUGGCCAUAGCCAUUUAUACUUUUGAAGAUAGCCGUAGCCGUUUAUAUUUUUAAGAUGGUCAUACCAUUUUAUUUUGGAGAUGGCCGUAUCCAUUUAUACUUUGAGGAUGGCCUUAGCCAUUUUUACCUUGAAGGUGGCCGUAGCCAUUUAUACUUUGGAGAUGGUCGUAGCCAUUUUUACCUUGAAGGUGGCCGUAGCCAUUUAUACUUUGGAGAUGGCCGUAGCCAUUUGAAGAUGACCGUAGCCAUUUGAAGAUGGCCAUAGCCAUUUGAAGAUGGUCGUAGCCAUUUAUACUUUUGAAGAUCGUCGUGUCCAUUUAUAAUUUUUAAGAUGGCCGUAACCGUUUAUAUUUUGGAGAUGGUCGUAGCCAUUUAUACUUUGAAUAUGGCCGUAGCCAUUUUUACCUUGAAGGUGGCCGUAGCCAUUUCUACUUCGGAGAUGGCCAUAGCCAUUUUUACCUUGAAGGUGGCUGUAGCCAUUUAUACUUUAAAGAUGGCCGUAGCCAUUUUUAUUUUGAAGGUGUCCGUAGCCAUUUACACUUUGGAGAUGGCCGUAGCCAUUUAUACUUUUGAAGAUGGCCAUAGCCGUUAAUAUUUUGGAUAUGGCCAUAGCCAUUUAUACUUUGAAGAUGGUCGUAUCCAUUUUUACCUUGAAGGUGGUCGUAGCCAUUUAUACUUUCGAGAUGGUCGUAGCCAUUUUUACCUUGAAGGUGGCCGUAGCCAUUUAUACUUUGAAGAUGGCCGUAGCCAUUUUUAUUUUGAAGUUGGCCGUAGCCAUUUAUACUUUGGAGAUGGCCGUAGCCAUUUAUACUUUUGAAGAUGGCCAUAGCCUUUUAUAUUUUGAAGAUGGCCGUAGCCAUUUAUACUUUGAAGAUGGCCGUAGCCAUUUUUACCUUGAAGGUGGUCGUAGCCAUUUAUACUUUUGAAGAGCCUUUUGUAUUUUGAAGAUGGCCGUAGCCAUUUAUACUUUGAAGAUGGCCGUAGCCAUUUUUACCUUGAAGGUGGUCGUAGCCAUUUAUACUUUGGAGAUGGCCGUAGCCAUUUUUAUUUGGAAUAUGGUCGUAGCCAUUUAUACUUUGGAGAUGGCCGUAGCCAUUUAUACUUUUGAAGAUGGCUGUAUCCAUUUAUAUUUUGGAGAUGGUUGAAGCCAUUUAUACUUUGAAUAUGGUCGUAGCCAUUUUUACCCUGAAGGUGGUCGUAGCCGUUUAUACUUUGGAGAUUGCCGUAGCCAUUUUUACCUUGAAGGUGGCCGUAGCCAUUUAUACUUUGAAGAUGGCUGUAGCCAUUUUUAUUUUGAAGGUGGCCGUAGACAUUCAUAAUUUGGAGAUGGCCGUAGCCAUUUAUACUUUUGAAGAUGGUCGUAGUCGUUUAUAUUUUGGGGAUGGCCAUAGCCAUUUAUACUUUGAAGAUGGGCAUAGCCAUUUUUACCUUGAAGGUGGCCGUAGCCAUUUACACUUUGGAGAUGGUCGUAGCCAUAUUAACCUUGAAGGUGGCGUAGCCAUUUAUACUUUGAAGAUGUUCAUAACCAUUUUUAUGUUUGAAGAUGGUCGUAGCUAUUUUACCUUGAAGGCGGCCGCAACCUUUUUCAACAGAAACUGUAUCUUCAUGUCAACGGCCUUUGGCCUCGUAAGGUGUUAACCUUAUUUUCGGUAGUCGAGUUGUAUGCCAUACAUUCGAAAAGAGUAUGGGUGCGUCCGGCGCGUAGCUUGGCGGCGUCUAAAGAUUGAAGGCGUAUGGAACACCCUUUCAAUAAUCUCAGGUCGUUAUAGCUGUUUCAAAGGCAAAGCGUCAGCUGGCGGUUGAAAAUCCAUUUCGUGGUGCUUGUCAUAGUGGUGCACGUUUCUGUAGGAUUGAACUGCAAAGGGGUUUUGCCUUAGAGUUUUUCUGGCAGGUGUGAUAGACCCUUUAUGACUUUUGUCGCGGCAACAUCGAUGGCCUUGACCAUGAUGACAUUGAUGCCCUUGGCCAGGUAAAUGACUUCGACUGUUGUCGGGUCGUUUACUUGCCUUAGUUAAAACCUAGGUAGGUUGUUAGCAUCGAUGGCCUUAGCCAAAAUUACACGCUUUUUGCUUUAUCGUUUUCCUUUUCUUGGUAUGAGCAAGUUGUAGCCAUUAUUUGGCGAGGGCGGCAUAUAGCCUUAACAGCAUAUAGCCUCAGUCCCAGUUCGGGCGUGGUUGAACUGUUGAUUGUGGCCUUGUAAUUCGACCGAGGCCGAACUUUUGCAUCCUGAAUCAUAGUUCAAGUUAGGCAUACUUACUUGAAUGGCGAGGGUUCUUAACUCAUUCCUUCGUUAAUUGAGGAAUAGGCCUUGUUGCGUCCAAUACUGGGGGCGCUUGGCCUAAGUCUUAGUUCAAACAGGGUUGAACUCAUUAGCUUUCAGGGCGAGGGUGUUCAGCCUUGCUGUUUGAGCGAGAUUGGGCUCGUGAUGGCGAAUGCGUGUUGCCUGAGUCCCAGUUCAACCUGUAGUUGAACUUUCGGACGAGGGAACGUAGCAUGAGUCAUUGUUAAACCUUAGUUGAGUCUUGGAAUUCUUGAUGGCGAAGACAAAUGGCCUGAGUCCCAGUUCAACUCUUAGUUGAACUUUUUGGGCAAGGACACGUAGCCUGAGUCGUUUUUCUACCGUAGUUGAGUCUUGGCAUUCUUGAUGGCGAAGACACAUGGCCUGAGUCCUAGUUCAACUCUUAGUUGAAAUUUUUGGGCGAGGGCACGUAGCCUGAGUUGUUGUUCAACCGUAGUUGAAUCUUGCAAUUUCUGAUGGCGAAGGCACAUAGCCUGAGUCCCAGUUCAACUCUAGAUUAAACGUAUUGGGCGAAGGAACGUAGCCUGAGUCGUUGUUCAACCAUAGUUGAAUCUUGCCAUUAAUGAUGGCAAAGGCACAUAGCCUAAGUUGUUGUUCGACCGUAGUUGAAUCUUGCCAUUCUUGAUGGCGAAGGCACAUAGCCUGAGUCCCAGUUCAACUCUUAGUUGAACGUUUUGGGCGAAGGCACGUAGCCUGAGUUGUUGUUCAACCGUACUUGAAUCUUGCAAUUUCUAAUGGCGAAGGCACAUGGCCUGAGUCCCAGUUCAACUCUUGGUUGAACUUUUUGGGUGAGGCACAUAGCCUGAGUCAUUGUUCAACCAUAGUUGAAUCUUGCCAUUACUGAUGGUGAAGACACAUAGACUGAGUUGUUGUUCAUCCGUAGUUGAAUUUUGCAAUUUUUGAUGGCGAAGGCACAUAGCCUGAGUCCCAGUUCAACUCAUAGUUGAAUUCUUGGGCAAAGGCACAUAGCCUGAGUAAGGCACGUAGCCUGAGUAAGGCACAUAGCCUGAGUAAUUGUUCAGCCGUAGUUGAACCUUUGUCAUUUUUGUUGUCGAACACAUAGCCUGAGUAAUCGUAGUUGAAUCUUGCAAUUUCUGAUGGUGAAGGCACAUGGCCUGAGUCCCAGUUGAGCUCUUGGUUGAAAUUUUUGGGCGAAGGCACAUAGCUUGAGUCGUUGUUCAACCAUAGUUGAAUCUUGCCAUUAUUGAUGGCGAACGCACAUAGCCUGAGUUGUUGUUCGACCGUAGUUGAAUUUUGCAAUUCUUGAUGGCGAAGGCAAAUAGCCUGAGUCCCAGUUCAACUCAUAGUUGAAUUCUUGGGCGAAGGCACAAAGCCUGAGUAAGGCACAUAGCUUGAUUAAGGCACAUAGCUUGAGUAAGGCACGUAGCCUGGGUGAGGCACGUAGCCUGGGUGAGGCACAUAGCCUAAGUAAGGCAUGUAGCCUAGGCGAGGCACGUAACCUGGGAGAGGAACGUAGCCUGGGUGAGGCACGUAGCCUGGGCGAGGCACGUAGCCUGGGUGAGGCACGUAGCCUGGGCGAGGCACGUAGCCUGAGCGAGGCACGUAGCCUGAGCGAGGCACGUAGCCUGAGACAGGCGCGUAGCCUGCACGAGGCGCGUAGCCUGAGCGAGGCGCGUAGCCUGAGUGAGGCGCGUAGCCUAAGCGAGGCGUGUAGCCUGAGCGAGGCUCGAAGCCUGAGCGAGGCGCGUAGCCUGAGCGAGGCGGGUAACCUGAGCGAGGCGCGUAGCCUGAGCGAGGCGCGUAGCUUGGGCGAGGCGCGUAGCCUGGGCGAGGCGCGUAGCCUGGGCGAGGCGCGUAGCCUGGGCGAGGCGCGUAGCCUGAGUGAGGCACGUAGCCUGAGUGAGGCACGUAGCCUGAGUGAGGCACGUAGCCUGGGUGAGGCACGUAGCCUGAGUGAGGCACGUAGCCUGAGUAAGGCAUGUAGCCCGAGUAAGGCACAUAGCCUGAGUAAUUGUUCAAUCGUAGUUGAACCUUUGUCAUUUUUGUUGUCGACUCCACAUAGCCUGAGUAAGGCACAUGGCCAGUUCAACUCAUAGUUAAAUUUUUUGCUGAAGGCGCAUGGCCUGAAUCUUGUGACAUCGGCAUUUGAGAGCAGAAGCUCGGUUUUGAUUCGAGAUCUUGAGCAGCUCACGUGUGCUCUUCCUGAUCGGGGUAUGUAGGCUUGAGGUGACUCUUGGUCGAGAUAUCUUCAUUCCGAUUUCCGACCAGAUCUCGCAUCAGGGAUGCGGGGGUGCCCUACAGAGAUCCUCCCUCGGGGGGGUCUGCUUCUCCUUCUUCUUCUUUCGCUUUCUCGACAAUGGGGGGGAAUAGGCUUCGCUUUCUUGCCGGAGUUUUCGAGUUCCCUUCACCUGCUGUUUGGCUCAUUUCAGCUGGGUUGCUUUCCCUUUUGGGUGUUUCCUUUCCUUUUUGGUCUGAGGAUGAACUACGCGAUUCUGCUAUGAAGUCUUCACAGACGGCGCCAAAUUGUUUAACUCAAAGUUCUCAUACACUUUAUAAGCAUAAAUCAAUUAAAAUUAAAAUAGGGCUAAUUAUAGCAGAUCGCAAUAAACCAAAAGACCAAGCGAAUAAAACGUAAGAGACAAUAGUUAUUGGUUAAGGGGAGGAGGGUAGAGAUAUUUUAUUGAUGACAUCGAUUUGGUUGCCUCUCCAUGGAGUGGUUCAGAGCCUUACAAUGAUAUAUAUUAUCUUCUUUUUGAAGUCGAGAUGAAGAAGAAGAAGAAGCAGCUCCCUUUUAGGGUUCUUUCUCUUAGUAUUUAUAGCUGUGAACCUUGCCAGAUGGCGCUGGGCGGCCGUGGCCACGUCGAGAGGACGCCUUCAUGAGGGCGGAUAGGUUAUGACAUCCAAUCGGUUAACCAUCAGGUAACCUUAUUAACAAAUGACCGUACCAUUUGUUAAUCAUAAGUGGAUUUAAAACGGAUUGAUUUCGUUAAUUAUCGUGGAGUCAAGUUUUGACCCAUACAAUAUAUAUAUAGAGAGAGAGAUUUCUACAUUCUGAUUCUCAAAGCAAAGAAUCCCAGUUUCUUUUUCUAUUCCAUUGAUUUUCAAGAUCAUUAUUUUACAUAAUUCUUGAAAAAUGGCUUCAUAAACUUUCCCAAAGGUGAAGAGUGAAUCAUCGGAGAGUGGUGGUUCUGAGAGAGGAGCUGCUGAAAAAGGUGAAGAUAACGAUAGUUUUGAAUAUUUUGGUUGGGUUUAUCAUUUGGGUGUUAAUUCGAUUGGACAUGAAUAUUGUCACCUUAGGUUUUUGUACAUUCGUCGCACUGACAUGAAAAUGUACAAAAGAGACCCCCACGAAAAUCCUGCACUGUAAGUGUAAUAUGUUGCGUUUGUUACUUAAUUAGUUUCUUGUUCCUGUCACUUAAGUUUCUUGAUAAUCGAGAGAUACCAAGGGUCAGUCAAAUCUUGGUUGAAUAAUGAGUCUGAUCCUCUAUUCUUCUCCACUUCUGUAUUAGGUUCUUAUUUGCCGCAAGUUUGAAUCCGUGAUGUGCAUCUAACCCCAUACAUCACGAGCUGCAGCUAUUAGCACUAGGUGGAUAGUACUCGUUACGUCUCAUUUAUGUGAUGGACUUUGAUUAGGAAUGACAUUUAAGAAAAAAAGUUUUUUUGAAACUUAUGGUCUAAAAUAUACCGUAUAUAUAUUUUGUGUGGCUAUAAAUUAUCUAAUUAAAAAUAAAAUGAAAACUUUUAAGUAUAAUGUUAAAUUAUUUCUAUAUGUAAAAAGAUAUUAUUCUUUUUGAGAUAGAUUAAAAAGGAAAGAAUGUCACAUAAAUUAUAUAAAAAAAAAGAAGUUUGUAAUUUGUAUCAUGUUAGGUGGAUUAAAAUUGGAAGAAUGUGAUAUGACCUAAAUGAUGGUUAAUGAUGGCUAAAAGGAAGAACUUUUUGAGUCAUGGGUGAGAUCCUUUUGGAUUAGAUGGAGUCUUUUAAGUGUUUCUUGAGUUGCGUUUGCUCGAUAUGACCGUAGAAAUUUCAGUGUAUGUGGCGCUUACUAACUACUGGAUAAUUUCUUAGAAUUGAUUUUAAUUAAACAAAAAUUUAUGUGGAUAAUCAAAAUCGUCAUCUUUAUGUUAAGAAGCACAAAUGAUCAAAUUGUACCUUCUCGAGUCAGCAGAGAGCCGAAUUGAGGUGAAGACCGUGUCGAUGCUUGUGGUAUCUUAGUUUUGACUGAAG
rnacentral:lncRNA from 1 species